rnacentral:tRNA from 1 species
GCUCCCAUGGUGUAAUGGUUAGCACUUUGGACUUUGAAUCCAGCGAUACGAGUUCAAAUCUCGGUGGGACCU